CCCCGUUCCACCAAUCUGUCCCAGUGUCACAGAUGCGGUUGAGCACAUCUGCCAGAUUGCCACAAGUUUGCUGCAGAUUUAGGCUGUGGCGAAGUUUGAAUUUGGGGUGUUCAAGACAAUAACACACAAGAACAACUCCACUCCCUCUCUCUGCUCUACCAACAACACCAAACUGUCUGGCUCAUCGCUCCAGUGAUUUUCUGCAGCCACUGUUGCACUCUCUCCAGUGUUUUUGACUCUCAGGAGAAGGUCACCUGGGCUCCUGUGUCUGUUCAGCGUGUUUCAUGUUUAUUGCUCUUGACAGCUUGGAGUCUCCGUCUGCUCUGAAUCUGAUGUUGUAUAAAUUCAAC